AGCUUUGCGCAGUGGCAGUAUCAUAGCCAAUGAGAUUUAUCUGAGGCGUGAUUAUUACCAAUUGAAAACUUAUAUAUUCUAAAAGAC
rnacentral:snRNA from 1 species